rnacentral:rRNA from 1 species
ACGACUCUCGGCAACGGAUAUCUCGGCUCUCGCAUCGAUGAAGAACGCAGCGAAAUGCGAUACUUGGUGUGAAUUGCAGAAUCCCGCGAACCAUCGAGUUUUUGAACGCAAGUUGCGCCCAAAGCCUUUUGGCCGAGGGCACGUCUGCCUGGGUGUCACGCAACAU